CCUGGAGGAAAGGACAUCAACAGAGACUCCGUUAGUAGUGGCGAGCGAACGCGGACCAGGCCAGUGAUACAUCAAAGACAAUCGGAACCGGUCAGGAAAGCCGGGCCUCAGAGGGUGAUAGCCCCGUACGAGUAAUGCGAUGAUGUAUCCACGAGUAAGGCGGGACACGUGAAAUCCUGUCUGAACGCGGGGGGACCACCCUCCAAGCCUAAGUACUCCUCAGCGACCGAUAGUGAACCAGUACCGUGAGGGAAAGGUGAAAAGCACCCCGACGAGGGGAGUGAAAUAGACCUGAAACCGGACACCUACAAACAGAUGGAGCCCAAGAUACGUUCUGGGUGACAUCGUACCUUUUGUAUUAUGGGCCAGCGACUUAAUUUAACGAGCAAGCUUAAGCCGAUAGGCGAAGGCGCAGCGAAAGCGAGUCUGAAUAGGGCGUCAAGUUCGUUGUAUUAGACCCGAAACCUAGUGAUCUAGCCAUGAGCAGGUUGAAGGUGAGGUAACACUCACUGGAGGACCGAACGGGUGCCUGUUGAAAAAGGCUCCGAUGACUUGUGGUUAGGGGUGAAAGGCCAAUCAAACUGGGAAAUAGCUGGUUCUCCGCGAAAGAUAUUUAGGUAUCGCCUCGGAUGAAUACCUCAGGGGGUAGAGCACUGGAUGGGCUAGGGGGACUUACCGUCUUACCAAACCCAACCAAACUCCGAAUACCUGAGAGUACUAUCCGGGAGUCACACGGCGGGUGCUAACGUCCGUCGUGGAGAGGGAAACAACCCGGACCUACAGCUAAGGCCCCUAAUUCGUGGCUAAGUGGGAAAGGAUGUGGAAAUCCCAAAACAACCAGGAGGUUGGCUUAGAAGCAGCCAUCCUUUAAAGAAAGCGUAACAGCUCACUGGUCUAAAUAAGGGUUUCUGCGCCGAAGAUGUAACGGGGCUCAAGCCACGAGCCGAAGCUUAGGGUGUGAUCCGCAAGGGUCACGCGGUAGCGGAGCGUUCUGUAAGCCUGCGAAGGGCGACUCGUGAGAGCGCCUGGAGGUAUCAGAAGUGCGAAUGCUGGCAUGAGUAACGACAAACACUGUGAAAGACAGUGUCGCCGAAAGUCCAAGGGUUCCUGCGUAAAGUUAAUCUUCGCAGGGUUAGCCGGUCCCUAAGGCGAGGCCGAAAGGCGUAGUCGAUGGGAAUGCAGUGAAUAUUCUGCAGCCAGUGGAUGGUGACGAAUCCCGUGUGUUGUCCGACCUUACUGGAUUGGUUGGGCUUCGAAGGGGUUCCAGGAAAUAGCCUCCACAUCAGACCGUACCCGAAACCGACACAGGUGGACUGGUAGAGUAUACCAAGGCGCUUGAGAGAACUAUGUUGAAGGAACUCGGCAAUUUACCUCCGUAACUUCGGGAUAAGGAGGCCCAUUGCUCGCGCAAGCGGGCAGUGGGGGCACAGACCAGGGGGUGGCAACUGUUUAACAAAAACACAGGGCUCUGCGAAAUCGCAAGAUGACGUAUAGGGUCUGACGCCUGCCCGGUGCCGGAAGGUUAAGAGGAGAGGUGCAAGCCUUGAAUCGAAGCCCCGGUAAACGGCGGCCGUAACUAUAACGGUCCUAAGGUAGCGAAAUUCCUUGUCGGGUAAGUUCCGACCUGCACGAAUGGCGUAAUGACUUCCCCGCUGUCUCCAACAUAGACUCAGUGAAAUUGAAUUCCCCGUGAAGAUGCGGGGUUCCUGCGGUCAGACGGAAAGACCCCGUGCACCUUUACUGUAGCUUUGCGCUGGUAUUCGUGACUGUUUGUGUAGAAUAGGUGGUAGGCUUUGAAGCCGUGGCGCCAGCCAUGGUGGAGCCGAAAUGUGAAAUACCACCCUAAUGGUUAUGGAUAUCUAACCGCGUCCCCUCAGCGGGAACCGGGACAGCGCAU
rnacentral:rRNA from 1 species